CCCCUCCACGAGCGUGCCGCGCGAGACACCGAGCAGACGAGGAAUCCGCGCGGUGUGGAGCGGACGGUGCUCGGCUGCUGGGACAAGUUGUAACGCCGGGACACGGAGAACAGCACCGGGAUGGUAUGAGAGAGCCCAUAUUGGCUUGGACGAGAGCCAGCUGUGUCAGGUUUUCAUGGGACCUUCCGCUGCCGGCAAGCUCAAGGAGAACUCUCGAUGUUGAAGCAUACAGAAGAGACGCUGUCACGGAGCGAUAAAAGCAUUCAUGCAAGCUGCGAUGGGACACAGUAAGGCUGUGGACGUGAUAAGAAAUCUCUGCAGUGCUCCUUUUCAAUCACAGCCCCAACACUAGGCAGUAGAGAAGUCCAUUAUCUACGAUUAAUGACAGCCGUGUUGCGGAGGCAGCCUCAAGCUGCACCGCCAGAUCUGAGACAACCCAUGGAGGCAUGGCCUCAACGUUUCCAACGCUGCUGCCACUAA
rnacentral:lncRNA from 1 species